CCACAAAUGAGAUUAAAGAAGAAACAAAACAGAAUAUGACGCAUCAAAUAGCACUUUGAUAGUCAAAGGAUGCAAAGUGUUGAGAUCUAUCUAGUGUGAGUAAAAAGUAUCACAUUGAUUGGAAAAGUUGAGAUUGAACAACAUAUAAGUGAAAUGACCCAUAAACCUAGGGGUGUACAUGGGUUGGGCAAAUCCGGUCG
rnacentral:lncRNA from 1 species